UACGGAAGGUGCAAGCGUUAUCCGGAAUCACUGGGUUUAAAGGGUGCGUAGGCGGUUACGUCAGUCAGAAGUGAAAGCUCACAGCUUAACUGUGGAAUUGCUUUUGAUACUGCGUAACUAGAAUCAGGUUGAGGUUGGCGGAAUGUGACAUGUAGCGGUGAAAUGCAUAGAUAUGUCAUAGAACACCAAUUGCGAAGGCAGCUGACUAGACCUGCAUUGACGCUGAGGCACGAAAGCGUGGGGAGCGAACAGG
rnacentral:rRNA from 1 species